ACUCAUUGGACUACACAAUUAACGAGCAUAAAUUUUGAAAAUAACGCGGAAUAUUUCUAACGAUAUAAAAAAUUAGAAAAAUAACUGAAUAACCGUUAUUGGUAGUGAAUGUAAAAUUUUAAAGUUAAAAACGUAUGCGGGUGGCUUUAAAUGUUUAGGAAAAUAAAAUUUAAAUAUUUCAUUUUUCAUAUGUUCACGAUAUUGCAGCAUUUGAAAUCUACAAAUAAAAGACAACAGCUGUUAAAUUGGCGUUUAUACAACUGAACCUAACGCUCGAUCCUAGCUGUCUAUAAAAACCAAAAGUGAUCAUUGGUUUUGCGGUUUACUCCCCCCAAAACCGAAGCAAAUUUGUAGACAAAACCCUUAAGGAUGAAUGCAAAAAAAACCUCUCAAAUAAACCUGGAAAUAUUUUCAAUACAUAUGGAGAGAGUAGAACCCUUUCCCUUAUUUAACUAUAUAUUUAUAUGUAUUUUAUCCAAUAUGACUAAUUGUAAGUUGGAAAAACACUAGCCAGUUGGAAUUUAUUGAUACAUUCACACACAUAGGCAGUUCUCUAGCAUGCUGUUUAAGUUUAGCCAACAACAGUGUCAUGUGUCAAAUCAUCAUGAUCAUCGCUGUCACGAACGGAGCUAGAAACGAAAGAGUUGACAUUUAUGGCUCAUAAACACUGUAAACGCCUACGAAAUGAAAACAAAAUCUCUUACGAAAGAAAAAACACACAUUCACUCACUCAUUCGCACUCGACAGAAAACACACAUGGCUCUGGUCUCAUAAAUAAAUUCCAAUGAAAGUGAUCAUUAUUUGGACGAUCCUCACAUUAUUCCAAUACAUGUGGGAUUUCAAAAAGACAGAAAUUAAAAAUAAAAACUAUACACUCACUAAAAGUUAAAAAAAAAACAAAAAUUUUAAAACCGUAAACUCAACCGUCAAACGCCCCUUUAAUCAGUACACUCUUGAUAAUACACACAAAUAUACUGGAAAGCGUUUCAAAAGUGUGAUCAAUUUAUCUAUCGAUUAUGAGUGUCUUUUGUAUGAUCACCACUAGUAAUCAUUGCCAUAAAAAUUGAUCUCUUUAUUAUAUUCCCAUUCUAUGUGUGCGGCAUUGUAUGCAUGUUUUUUCUUCUGCAAAAUUUCUGUCAUAUUUGUUGUGAUUAUGAUAAAAAUCCCAGAAGAUCUAUUUUGACUUUUUUCAAAUUCGAAAUAUGUUUUGAAAUUUAUAUGUUGUAAGUAGCGAUUCAAAUACGGAAAAAGUUUUAAAUCUUCCACUCUUAAGAGAGAUGAAUUAAAAAAAUUGAAUUAAAACCAUUAACUCAAAAAUUUAAAGAUGACAAUAAGACCUUUUUAUGCAGAAAAUCCAUUGUGAAAAGUUUUCUGUCUCUCUAUAUGCCUAAAUACAACAUAAUUGCCAAAUAAAAAUGUAAUUUGGAAAAAAGGAAGAGAAAAAAGAGAAAGUGUGGCAGCCAAAUCAUUUAUGAUCGAUCCAUCAUUCAACAAUAACAACUUCACUUAAGUGUGGAAAACAAAUAAAUCACAAAAAAACAACCAAACAAAACCAUAAAAUCCUAAAAAUGCUAAUAAAUAUUAGAAUACAAACAACAACAAAAUGCUUUAAUUGAGUUAAAAACAAUUAGAAGAACGAAAGAGACAGGAAGAGAACCUUAGAAUGAAAGCAAUUUAUAAAAAAAACAACAACAAUAAUAAACUUGUUUAUAUUUUAACAUCCUGACAAAUAACAUUGUAUGAUAACAGGUAACAAUUGCCAGAUGGAUGUACAAAGUAUGACUACAACGAUCGUUCUUCAGCCAACAGAAACAAAGAAAAAUACAAAUAUCAAGUGCGAAAAAUGUUUGACUCAAAUUUCAAGUGGAAUGGAUGGGUUUUGAAGAACAAAUGAAUGAAAUAAAUACUUAUGGAUGUAUAAUGAACGGGCAGAAUGUUUAGUUUAUGAAAUUAUUAAAAAUUAAAAAAAAACUGAAAAUAUUUGUAAUAAAAAAGAAUUGAAAAUAAAAUUGAAAGUGUGUUUUGAGAAAAAAGAAACACAAACAAAAUGCAAUUGUA
rnacentral:lncRNA from 1 species